rnacentral:lncRNA from 1 species
UUCCUAUUCAAAGUUCAUAAGGUUUUCUGCUGACAGACAAACCCGAUGAACCUUUGUAAUUGUCUUGACUAGGUUUUGGUUUCUUCUCCUUCAAAACAAACAGGAGGAGGAAGAACAAGAGAGAAUAAAGCCAAGAUCCAGCAUAUCAUGUCAUUCAUGGGGAUCUCACGUAGAAUUGGAGCACCUGAGCCCCCUCCCUGCAUCUGGUGCAGACGGUGCCCAGAGGAGCGGCC